GAGUUCAUGUCAUUCAGUCUCUCAAUGGAUGCAGAAAUCCUUCUCGGGAACCUCAGAGGUAGCAACUGUCCUUCAUUUGAAUCCUGGUUGCAUGAUGCUCACUGCCUUACAAGGCAGCUCCAUCUAUUUAUUAGCAAGAUGCAGUCACCUGGCUUCCCUGGCACUGUCUCUGAUAUCUGGGAAAUGGACCUAAGGCUGUACUCGGAGGCAGAUGUGACAAGCUACCAGCCCAGGUGAGAUGGAAGGCCUCUUCCCCUCUCAGGCCAGAGGGUCCAGUGCCAGAAUCAUCCCGACGCUUGUCGCAAAUUCACUUUCUCUUCUCCCUUUGGAUUCCACAGCUCUGGGAUGUAGCCCAGGAAGCUGUAUUUUUUUUUUUUAACUUCCCUGAGUGAUUCUGGUGAUCUUCCUCUUGGAGCCACACUGAAGGGCAAGACAAGCAGUGGCUGAACGUUGUUGCCAGCAGGGUUAGGGAGGUGGGGGCAGAGGAUAAGGAGAAGUCCUGUAGGGAUUUGGGAAGCAUGUUUGCCACUCCCAAAAAAAAGAAAAAAAAGGAAAACGAAAACAAAACAAAAAAAAGCUCAGCUUGGGAGAGAAGCCUAAAACAAACAAACAAAAAAGUAACCAAGACCUCGACGCAGUACUGAAUUGCUGAAUUUUUAAUCUGUAACACAAAGGUUGCCAAACAUUCCCCCAAAGGAGCAGCUCUCAGUGG
rnacentral:lncRNA from 10 species